rnacentral:rRNA from 1 species
UACGUAGGGUGCAAGCGUUAAUCGGAAUUACUGGGCGUAAAGCGUGCGCAGGCGGCUUUGCAAGACAGAUGUGAAAUCCCCGGGCUUAACCUGGGAACUGCAUUUGUGACUGCAUGGCUGGAGUGCGGCAGAGGGGGAUGGAAUUCCGCGUGUAGCAGUGAAAUGCGUAGAUAUCAAGUGGAACACCGGUGGCGAAGGCGAGUCCCUGGACAACACCUGACACUGAGGCACGAAAGCUAGGGGAGCAAAUAGG